rnacentral:ncRNA from 1 species
AGGUGUACCUUCGCAAGCAAUUAAACUCAAACUUAAAGACUACUUCAUUAAGCAAAUUAGAGCUUACCAAGCAGGCAAAGUACCGACAGCUACUGUAUCUAAUAAAACAAGUUCUGCAAGUAAUACUAAAUCAACUGUAGCUGGUGCAUGGAAACGUAACAGUUAUGGUACAUGGUAUAUGAGUGAGAAAGCACGUUUCACUAACGGUAGCCAAUCAAUUAUGGUUAGAACAACUGGACCAUUCAGAAGUUGUCC